rnacentral:rRNA from 1 species
AGUAAUCGCGCAUCAGCCAUGGUGCGGUGAAUACGUUCCCGGGCCUUGUACACACCGCCCGUCAAGCCAUGGGAGCCGGGGGUGGCUUGAAGUGCGUCGCCGCAAGGCGCGCCCUAGAGCAAAACUGGUGACUGGGGCUAAGUCGUAACAAGGUAAC